GUGGGGAAUAUUGGACAAUGGGCGAAAGCCUGAUCCAGCCAUGCCGCGUGUGUGAAGAAGGUCUUCGGAUUGUAAAGCACUUUAAGUUGGGAGGAAGGGCAGUAAGUUAAUACCUUGCUGUUUUGACGUUACCAACAGAAUAAGCACCGGCUAACUUCGUGCCAGCAGCCGCGGUAAUACGAAGGGUGCAAGCGUUAAUCGGAAUUACUGGGCGUAAAGCGCGCGUAGGUGGUUCAGCAAGUUGAAGGUGAAAUCCCCGGGCUCAACCUGGGAACUGCCUCCAAAGCUACUGAGCUAGAGUACGGUAGAGGGUAGUGGAAUUUCCUGUGUAGCGGUGAAAUGCGUAGAUAUAGGAAGGAACACCAGUGGCGAAGGCGACUACCUGGACUGAUACUGACACUGAGGUGCGAAAGCAUGGGGAGCAAACAGGAUUAGAAACCCUAGUAGUCC
rnacentral:rRNA from 1 species